UACCAGCACCCCGAGUGGUCGGGACGUUUUAUUGGGCCUAAAGCAUCCGUAGCCGGUUCUACAAGUCUUCCGUUAAAUCCAGCUGCUUAACAGAUGGGCUGCGGAGGAUACUAUAAGACUAGGAGGCAGGAGAGGCAAGCGGUACUCAGUGGGUAGGGGUAAAAUCCGUUGAUCCAUUGAAGACCACCAGUGGCGAAGGCGGCU
rnacentral:rRNA from 1 species